UACGUAGGGUGCAAGCGUUGCCCGGAAUUAUUGGGCGUAAAGAGCUCGUAGGCGGCUUGUCACGUCGGCUGUGAAAACCCGGGGCUCAACUCCGGGCCUGCAGUCGAUACGGGCUGGCUUGAGUGCGGUAGGGGAGACUGGAAUUCCUGGUGUAGCGGUGAAAUGCGCAGAUAUCAGGAGGAACACCGGUGGCGAAGGCGGGUCGCUGGGCCGUAACUGACGCUGAGGAGCGAAAGCGUGGGGAGCGAACAGG
rnacentral:rRNA from 1 species